rnacentral:rRNA from 1 species
UACGUAGGGGGCUAGCGUUGUCCGGAAUCAUUGGGCGUAAAGCGCGUGUAGGCGGUCCGGUAAGUCCGCUGUGAAAGUCGGGGGCUCAACCCUCGAAUGCCGGUGGAUACUGUCGGGCUAGAGUACGGAAGAGGCGAGUGGAAUUCCUGGUGUAGCGGUGAAAUGCGCAGAUAGUCAGGAGGAACACCAAUUGCAAGGCAGCUCGCUGGGACGUUACUGACGCUGAGACGCGAAAGCGUGGGAGAAACAGG